UAGGGAAUCUUCCGCAAUGGGCGAAAGCCUGACGGAGCAACGCCGCGUGAGUGAUGAAGGUCUUCGGAUCGUAAAACUCUGUUAUUAGGGAAGAACAUAUGUGUAAGUAACUGUGCACAUCUUGACGGUACCUAAUCAGAAAGCCACGGCUAACUACGUGCUAGCAGCCGCGGUAAU
rnacentral:rRNA from 1 species